rnacentral:rRNA from 1 species
GAUGAACGCUAGCUACAGGCUUAACACAUGCAAGUCGAGGGGCAUCAGGAAGAAAGCUUGCUUUCUUUGCUGGCGACCGGCGCACGGGUGAGUAACACGUAUCCAACCUGCCCUUUACUCGGGGAUAGCCUUUCGAAAGAAAGAUUAAUACCCGAUAGCAUAAUGAUUCCGCAUGGUUUCAUUAUUAAAGGAUUCCGGUAAAGGAUGGGGAUGCGUUCCAUUAGGUUGUUGGUGAGGUAACGGCUCACCAAGCCUUCGAUGGAUAGGGGUUCUGAGAGGAAGGUCCCCCACAUUGGAACUGAGACACGGUCCAAACUCCUACGGGAGGCAGCAGUGAGGAAUAUUGGUCAAUGGGCGUUAGCCUGAACCAGCCAAGUAGCGUGAAGGAUGAAGGCUCUAUGGGUCGUAAACUUCUUUAUAUAAGAAUAAAGUGCAGUAUGUAUACUGUUUUGUAUGUAUUAUAUGAAUAAGGAUCGGCUAACUCCGUGCCAGCAGCCGCGGUAAUACGGAGGAUCCGAGCGUUAUCCGGAUUUAUUGGGUUUAAAGGGAGCGUAGGUGGACUGGUAAGUCAGUUGUGAAAGUUUGCGGCUCAACCGUAAAAUUGCAGUUGAUACUGUCAGUCUUGAGUACAGUAGAGGUGGGCGGAAUUCGUGGUGUAGCGGUGAAAUGCUUAGAUAUCACGAAGAACUCCGAUUGCGAAGGCAGCUCACUGGACUGCAACUGACACUGAUGCUCGAAAGUGUGGGUAUCAAACAGG